UGGGGAAUAUUGCACAAUGGGCGCAAGCCUGAUGCAGCCAUGCCGCGUGUAUGAAGAAGGCCUUCGGGUUGUAAAGUACUUUCAGCGGGGAGGAAGGGAGUAAAGUUAAGACCUUUGCUCAUUGACGUUACCCGCAGAAGAAGCACCGGCUAACUCCGUGCCAGCAGCCGCGGUAAUACGGAGGGUGCAAGCGUUAAUCGGAAUUACUGGGCGUAAAGCGCACGCAGGCGGUUUGUUAAGUCAGAUGUGAAAUCCCCGGGCUCAACCUGGGAACUGCAUCUGAUACUGGCAAGCUUGAGUCUCGUAGAGGGGGGUAGAAUUCCAGGUGUAGCGGUGAAAUGCGUAGAGAUCUGGAGGAAUACCGGUGGCGAAGGCGGCCCCCUGGACGAAGACUGACGCUCAGGUGCGAAAGCGUGGGGAGCAAACAGG
rnacentral:rRNA from 1 species